UACGUAGGGGGCAAGCGUUGUCCGGAUUUACUGGGCGUAAAGGGCGCGUAGGCGGCGCGGUAAGUCACUUGUGAAAUCUCUGAGCUUAACUCAGAACGGCCAAGUGAUACUGCAGUGCUAGAGUGUGGAAGGGGCAAUCGGAAUUCUUGGUGUAGCGGUGAAAUGCGUAGAUAUCAAGAGGAACACCUGAGGUGAAGACGGGUUGCUGGGCCAACACGUGACGGCUGAGGCGCGAAAGCCAGGGAGCAACGGG
rnacentral:rRNA from 1 species